AAUAGCUUAACUGAAGUGUUUAAAUAGGAAUGGGCUUUUCUCACAAAACCCAAUAGGUUCCAGAAUUUUCUAACCUUACUCUGAGAGAACAAAAGUAAUAUACUUAUUGCUUAUAAAAAGCAAUGCAAAGUAUUUACAUAUAAGAGUAGCUAUGCAUAAGAAGUCACAAAUUGUGUUUAAAUUAAAAUGUAAAAUCAUACAUGGAGAAAAGCUAAGAAGUAUGCAGGAUGCUCAUUUACCCACAUUAGCUUGGUAAAGAGGGAGGGUCACUGCGGGAAGACCCUAUAAAUAGAAUACACAGUACCUGAAUUUGCACAGUACUUCUGGGGCAAAGCUUUGGUGGCUUAAUAUCAUAAUGUUUAAAAUUGAGAAGGCUAUUUUCAUUGGCUACUGUAACCCCUGAUGCCUCACUUGCUAAUUAAACUAUUUCAUGUGCCUGGAUAUGCCCUGACUGCCUUUUAUAUUAGGCCCACACACAGCUGUGUAGCAGCAGCUGCUCAGCAACAAUUACUGAACUGCACUUUUCUGACAUUCUGGGUAUACAAUGUCAGAGCAUCCUUUUCAAAUUGACUCCACAGUGUUAAACCCCAGGAAUUGAGUGAGUGUACGCAUCUAGGUUAAUCUUAAGAUUGACUAUAUUAAUAUCUAUGUAAGCACAUAAUAUAGAAAUCCAGAUUUGUAAAUCAUAAAUUAGAGAAUGCUUAAGUGUUCUCUUAACUUAGCAAAAAAAUUUACCCAAGACUCACUGUGUAGACAUCAAUCUCCUCUACUGGUUUUAGCAUGAUUCAGUUUGCUUUAUUAUCAAAUUUUCUGAUUACAGGAGUUGUAUGACCUGAGAGGUAUACUUGUAAAUGUUUGUGAACUCUAGUCUGUUCUUCAUAACAUACAGUUGAAAAAUAGAGAAGAGCUACAGAAAUCCCAAAGGUACUUAAUCUCUGUAUAACCAACCACCUCAUUUUUUAUGAGUUGCAAAACAGGAUUUGUUUUGCCUUUUUUUUUCUUUCCCCAAACAUUUUCUGGUAACAAAACUACUGAGAAAUUAAAUUGCCCAGGGAGGGAGGAAAAUCCAACAAAUCAGUUCAUCUAGAGUUGCUGUCUGUGUAUAAAAAAAUCAAAACACUGAAACUCAUUUUAAGUCCCUUUUUCAAGUGAAAGCUUAUAAUUGAGGUUAAUUCAGUUUCAUUUUUAAGAUCAGAAGGACUGUAACCUGGGUUGCAAGGCUGCUGCUCUUAUCAGAAGUUUCAAAGCCCCCUGAAGUAGAAAAGAAGGAAUUUUAAAGUAUCAUCAUAGAAAAUCCCUGCCACUUAGAGGGCCAAGUCAUUGAAAAUGAAGACAGGCAAUGUCUGGAUUUUUUUUUUUUUAAGUCCUAUUGAAAGGUACUAAGUUUUAAAAUAAGGCAGAGGUCAGAUAUUUAACUUUUAUGCUGAAAGAGGAAAAUGAUGCUCAAAGUUAUACAAAGGCUACAGGGUUUGCAAACUCAAUGCCUUUGGGAAUGGAAGGAAAUGCGUGAAGGGGGGUGUAUGCCAUUCUGGAGUAUAUCCCAUUAAAAAUGGAUAGCUGCCAUUCAGUUCCAGUCAACUGCACUUUUAUGCAGGAACACGAGCCCAGUGUUGAAAAUUUUCUGACUUUUCGAUCAGUUAACUGUGCAAAAACUUGCAUUUUUAAAUAUUAAGUUUUUUAUUAUAAUAAUUUUAAGGAAAAAAAAUCCUGGCUAGAAAGAGGAGUCAAAAAAAAACCUAUAACCCACAUGUAGGCAGGCAGUUUGUGACAGAUGAACUAAUCUUCCAAGUCCAGUCUAGUUCUAAUCUCAUACUAUUUGGUAUAAAUAUCUUAAAACGCUUAGCAUUCCCUCUAAUUCAACAUUAGCAAUAUUAGCCACUCCUGGAAAUAGACUUUGGACCUAGAAAUGGCGUUUGGUGUGUUAAUGGGAAAAGUGGGAAGAAAAGACAUG